ensembl:lncRNA
GGAGGAGGGAGAGAGGAGGGGAUAUCAGGAGGAGGGAGAGAGGAGGGGAUAUCAGGAGGAGGGAGAGAGGAGGGGAUAUCAGGAGGAGGGAGAGAGGAAAGGUGGGGAUAUCAGGAGGAGGGAGAGAGGAGGGGAUAUCAGGAGGAGGGAGAGAGGAGGGGAUAUCAGGAGGAGGGAGAGAGGAAAGGUGGGGAUAUCAGGAGGAGGGAGGGAGGAAAGGAGGGGAUAUCAGGAGGAGGGAGAGAGGAGGGGAUAUCAGGAGGAGGGAGAGAGGAGGGGAUAUCAGGAGGAGGGAGAGAGGAAAGGUGGGGAUAUCAGGAGGAGGGAGAGAGGAGGGGAUAUCAGGAGGAGGGAGAGAGGAAAGGAGAGGAUAUCAGGAGGAGGGAGAGAGGAGGGGAUAUCAGGAGGAGGGAGAGAGGAGGGGAUAUCAGGAGGAGGGAGAGAGGAAAGGUGGGGAUAUCAGGAGGAGGGAGGGAGGAAAGGUGGGGAUAUCAGGAGGAGGGAGAGAGGAAAGGUGGG